rnacentral:rRNA from 1 species
GAUGAACGCUGGCGGCGUGCCUAAUACAUGCAAGUCGAGCGAACGGACGAGAAGCUUGCUUCUCUGAUGUUAGCGGCGGACGGGUGAGUAACACGUGGAUAACCUACCUAUAAGACUGGGAUAACUUCGGGAAACCGGAGCUAAUACCGGAUGAUAUUUUGAACCGCAUGGUUCAAAAGUGAAAGACGGUCUUGCUGUCACUUAUAGAUGGAUCCGCGCUGCAUUAGCUAGUUGGUAAGGUAACGGCUUACCAAGGCAACGAUGCAUAGCCGAGCUGAGAGGGUGAUCGGCCACACUGGAACUGAGACACGGUCCAGACUCCUACGGGAGGCAGCAGUAGGGAAUCUUCCGCAAAGGGCGAAAGCCUGACGGAGCAACGCCGCGUGAGUGAUGAAGGUCUUCGGAUCGUAAAACUCUGUUAUUAGGGAAGAACAAAUGUGUAAGUAACUAUGCACGUCUUGACGGUACCUAAUCAGAAAGCCACGGCUAACUACGUG